UGGAUAUCAGGUUGUGUCCUGCUCUAACCU
rnacentral:piRNA from 1 species